rnacentral:RNase_P_RNA from 1 species
GCGGAGGGCCGGAUGGCCGCGGCAGCGAUGCCGAGGAAAGUCCGGACUCCACAAGGCAACGGUGCCGGGUAACGCCCGGGCGGGGAAACCCGACGGAAAGCGCCACAGAAAACAGACUACCGCCGCUUGCGGCGGAAAAGGUGAAACGGUGGGGUAAGAGCCCACCGCGUCCCCGGCAACGGGGGCGGCCUGGCAAGCCCCACCGGGAGCAAUGCCGAAUAGGGUCCCCGCGCGGGCCGGUCCCGGGUCUGACCCGGGAUACCGCCGCUAGGUGCGUCUUGGCCGAGAGGGACCGGGUUGGCAGCUUGAGCCGCGGAGCGAUCCGCGGCCCAGAGGAAUGGUCGUCGAACCCCGGAUCACGGUCCGGGGGGAACAGAAUCCGGCUUACAGGCCCUCCGCGCGU